ACUUGAGCUAAAAGAUGUCCUCCAGCAAAGAGGCCUUUUGACUUCAGCUAACUCAUCUGUGGAAACAGGAAAACGUUCCAGCAGCAGCAGCAGCACCAACUUUGCCUCAUUCCCCACAGCAUCUCAAACGCUCAAUGCCAUCUGAAAGUUCUACUACCAAAGGAAUUACUUCAUCCCCAAAAACAGUUGAUCAAAAAUGAAUGUACUGUCAAAAAAAGCUGACAAGAAUAAGGCAUGAUUGUGAAGUGAAGGAUAUUCUUCUCUGGGCAAACAGGCUGAUACUGCCAAGGAUACAUUUGACAGCAGCAGUGUGGGAGCUCACACCCAGCAAGCAAAGAAAAUUACACAGGGUAAUGGGUGUGGCUUUUCUGCAUAGAGUUCAGUUGGCCAGUUGUAAAUGAAAUAGCUGCAACAGCCCAGUAUUCCUAUGAGUAAUCAAAUAUUGCUCAUCAAGGACAGGUACACUGUGGCUCACAGUAUUAAACCCUAACUGUAGAAACCGACUCUGUGAUACUCUGCUAGGCAGUUUCUCACUUGAUACACAUGUGCAAAUAAUGACUGCUCUCCUGUGCUCAGGUAGCCAUUGAGCAAAGAGAGCCAUGGCACCUGAAGUCCUGCUCCAAACAUGGGUCCUCAUUUCUCUGCAGAAAUUACCUUAUUAGUUCUGAAGGCAGCUAAUGAGUUCCCUCCUUGACAAGGUCAGCUUUUGGCUUGGACAUCUCCACUUCGCACAUCUUGUUUCAGGCACAAAGAUUCUCAGCCAUCUCCUUCUCUAGAUCCUGUUAGUUAGUUGGUUGUGUGGGAUGACUACGGACCGUCAGCUCAUGACCUGCUAGUGGCUGAGAUGCUUUACCUUCUUGGAGUCUAAUGUGUCUACUUUCCACCAUGCAAGUCCUCAGCUAAUGAGCAGCUUGCUUUGAACUGUUGUCCAGAACAAACAUGUUGAGUUACUAGGUGAUACUCAAACAGCUUAUGUCUGUAGGUUGCACGCAAUGAAUUCUGUUGCAGCUCUUUCAAGGUUAAUGAAAUAAUGGACUAUGAUAUGUAUCUUUAUGACUUGUUUAGUGGUUGUGUUCCUCUGACUCAGUGGGCAAUCUAAGAGGAUGCUUCCUGAAAUUAACUACUUUUGGGGCAUUUAACAUCAUUCAUGAUCCUGAAACACUGCAAGCAACAAGACUUCUGGUUUUUCUCAGCUCCCUAAGGAAGAACAGAUCUGAGACUUGAAUCAAUUAACUUUAAGCAAGAGGAGACUUGAAAGAAGUAAGAUGACUCCUCCUGUCCUUUGAAGGAGAGAAGAAGCUCUUUUCUCACUCUAGGGUGCAAGGUUAUGACCCACUUUCCUGCUUCACCAGUAUAAAUGGGGUAUGCAUGCAACCAUUAAGGUAAUCCCUUCCUAGAGUGCUUGUCUUCUGAAUAGCCUCCGCUAGGCUGCACGGGGCCUGGCUCACUCUAUCAUUCCUUGUAAGCCCUGACCUGAAGCAGUGUCACUGGCUGGAGACCUGUGACAGGUCUUGGGGACCUCACAGAAAUGUACAUAUAAUUCAGCUGCAUAAAACAGCAAUAAAUGAAUAGAUAAGAGAU
ensembl:lncRNA